rnacentral:rRNA from 1 species
UACAGAGGUGGCAAGCGUUGUUCGGAAUUACUGGGCGUAAAGGGCGCGUAGGCGGUUCGUUAAGUCCUGUGUGAAAUCCCCCGGCUCAACUGGGGAACUGCACAGGAAACUAGCGGGCUUGAGUCGGGAGAGGGAAGCGGAAUUCCGGGUGUAGCGGUGAAAUGCGUAGAUAUCCGGAGAACACGGUGGCGAAGGCGGCUCCUGGACCGACACUGACGCUGAGGCGCGAAAGCUAGGGGAGCAAACGGG